rnacentral:rRNA from 1 species
CUUACACAUGCAGUCGAACGGUGAAGCAGAGCUUGCUCUGUGGAUCAGUGGCGAACGGGUGAGUAACACGUGAGCAACCUGCCCCUGACUCUGGGAUAAGCGCUGGAAACGGCGUCUAAUACUGGAUAUGAGCUGCGACCGCAUGGUCAGCAGUUGGAAAGAUUUUUCGGUCUGGGAUGGGCUCACGGCCUAUCAGCUUGUUGGUGAGGUAAUGGCUCACCAAGGCGUCGACGGGUAGCCGGCCUGAGAGGGUGACCGGCCACACUGGGACUGAGACACGGCCCAGACUCCUACGGGAGGCAGCAGUGGGGAAUAUUGCACAAUGGGCGAAAGCCUGAUGCAGCAACGCCGCGUGAGGGAUGACGGCCUUCGGGUUGUAAACCUCUUUUAGCAGGGAAGAAGCGAAAGUGACGGUACCUGCAGAAAAAGCGCCGGCUAACUACGUGCCAGCAGCCGCGGUAAUACGUAGGGCGCAAGCGUUAUCCGGAAUUAUUGGGCGUAAAGAGCUCGUAGGCGGUUUGUCGCGUCUGCUGUGAAAUCCCGAGGCUCAACCUCGGGUCUGCAGUGGGUACGGGCAGACUAGAGUGCGGUAGGGGAGAUUGGAAUUCCUGGUGUAGCGGUGGAAUGCGCAGAUAUCAGGAGGAACACCGAUGGCGAAGGCAGAUCUCUGGGCCGUUACUGACGCUGAGGAGCGAAAGGGUGGGGAGCAAACAGGCUUAGAUACCCUGGUAGUCCACCCCGUAAACGUUGGGAACUAGUUGUGGGGUCCAUUCCACGGAUUCCGUGACGCAGCUAACGCAUUAAGUUCCCCGCCUGGGGAGUACGGCCGCAAGGCUAAAACUCAAAGGAAUUGACGGGGACCCGCACAAGCGGCGGAGCAUGCGGAUUAAUUCGAUGCAACGCGAAGAACCUUACCAAGGCUUGACAUAUACGAGAACGGGCCAGAAAUGGUCAACUCUUUGGACACUCGUAAACAGGUGGUGCAUGGUUGUCGUCAGCUCGUGUCGUGAGAUGUUGGGUUAAGUCCCGCAACGAGCGCAACCCUCGUUCUAUGUUGCCAGCACGUAAUGGUGGGAACUCAUGGGAUACUGCCGGGGUCAACUCGGAGGAAAGGUGGGGAUGACGUCAAAUCAUCAUGCCCCUUAUGUCUUGGGCUUCACGCAUGCUACAAUGGCCGGUACAAAGGGCUGCAAUACCGCGAGGUGGAGCGAAUCCCAAAAAGCCGGUCCCAGUUCGGAUUGAGGUCUGCAACUCGACCUCAUGAAGUCGGAGUCGCUAGUAAUCGCAGAUCAGCAACGCUGCGGUGAAUACGUUCCCGGGUCUUGUACACACCGCCCGUCAAGUCAUGAAAGUCGGUAACACCUGAAGCCGGUGGCCCAACCCUGUGGAGGGAGCCGUCGAAGGCUGGAU